UUCCGCCCUCCUGUCGUGACUGCAAGGGAUUUCUCAGGGGGGCGUACCUGGGAGAGGCUAUGCAGGAUUGUAGGACAAUGGUCCUACAGUGAAAGUCAGAGAGAAGCUGCAAAAUGGUUCCAGAUUGAAGGAGACUAGAGAGAUGUGACAAAAUGCCACGUGUGAUUCUGAACUGGAUCCUUUUGCUAUAAAGUACCUUUAUUGAGACAACAGGUCGUUGAAUUUUGGCAUACAGUGAAUGUUCAUUAUUCAAGGAUUCCACACUGCAAAUUUACCUCCUCACUCAGAUUUAUACGUAACCUCAAAAUCAAGACUCAUGGUGCUUUCAUGGUUAUUUGUGGACAUAUGCAGAAUUGUGAAAACUCUGGGUUGCCUGAUGUGCAUGCUCCCAGCUGAGGUCAAACAAGGCAAGUUUCUGCUUCUUGUUUCAGUUCAUAGAGUA